CCUACGGGGGGCAGCAGUGANGAAUAUUGCACAAUGGGGGAAACCCUGAUGCAGCAACGCCGCGUGGAGGAUGAAGGUUUUUGGAUUGUAAACUCCUUUUCUGAGGGAAGAGCAAGGACGGUACCUCAGGAAUAAGUCACGGCUAACUACGUGCCAGCAGCCGCGGUAACACGUAGGUGGCGAGCGUUAUCCGGAUUUACUGGGCGUAAAGGGCACGCAGGCGGUUUGGCAAGUUUGGCGUGAAAUCUCCCGGCUUAACUGGGAGCGGUCGUUGAAAACUGCCAAACUUGAGUCGGUGAGAGGGGUGCGGAAUUCCCGGUGUAGUGGUGGAAUGCGUAGAUAUCGGGAGGAACACCAGUGGCGAAAGCGGCACCCUGGCACUGUACUGACGCUGAGGUGCGAAAGCGUGGGUAGCGAACGGGAUUAGAUACCCCGGUAGUCCACGCUGUAAACGAUGAAUACUAGGUGUAGGAUGUGUUAAAGCAUUCUGUGCCAAAGCAAACGCGAUAAGUAUUCCGCCUGGGGAGUACGGCCGCAAGGCUAAAACUCAAAGGAAUUGACGGGGACCCGCACAAGCAGCGGAGCGUGUGGUUUAAUUCGAUGCAACGCGAAGAACCUUACCUGGGCUUGACAUAUAGGUAGUAGUGAAGGGAAACUGGAACGACUCUUCGGAGAGCCUAUACAGGUGCUGCAUGGCUGUCGUCAGCUCGUGUCGUGAGAUGUUGGGUUAAGUCCCGCAACGAGCGCAACCCCUGUCGUUAGUUACAAGUGUCUAGCGAGACUGCCAGUAUCAAACUGGAGGAAGGUGGGGACGACGUCAAGUCAGCAUGGCCUUUAUGUCCAGGGCUACACACACGCUACAAUGGGUAGUACAAUGGGCAGCGAAGUCGCGAGGCGGAGCGAAUCUCAUCAAAGCUAUUCGUAGUUCGGACUGUAGGCUGCAAUUCGCCUGCAUGAAGCCGGAGUUGCUAGUAAACGUAGGUCAGCACACUACGUUGAAUACGUUCCCGGGUCUUGCACACACCGCCCGUC
rnacentral:rRNA from 1 species